rnacentral:rRNA from 1 species
UUAAAGAGCCGCGGUAUUUUGACCGUGCGAAGGUAGCAUAAUAAUUAGUCUCCUAAUUAGAGGCUUGUAUGAAUGGUCGGACAAGAUGGAAACUGUCUCAAUACAACAAAUAAAAUUUAAUAUUUAAGUAAAAAAGCUUAAAUAAAAUGGAGGGACGAUAAGACCCUAUAAAGCUUUAUAAUAUUUUUCUUUUUUAUAAAUUAUUUUGUUAUUAACUUAUUUUAGUUUUAAUAUUAUUUUACUGGGGCGGUAAAAGUAUAAUAAAGAAUAACUGCUUUUGUUUUGUAUAACAAUUUUAGUUGGAAAUAAAUUGAUCCAUUAUUAAUGAUCAUAAGAACAAGUUACUUUAGGGAUAACAGCGUAAUUUUUUUUGAGAGUUCUUAUCGAAAAAAAAGUUUGCGACCUCGAUGUUGAAUUAAGGUUACCUUAAGGUGCAGCAGUUUUA